rnacentral:misc_RNA from 1 species
CUCAUUCUACUACCAUUAGGAAAUGGAUGUUAGGAUGGAGUCAUAUGAUUGCGAGCCAGGUUUAUUAACUAAAGUUUCCCAUUACUUGCAGGCAGAAACUAAAAAAUCACCAUUUAAGGAAUGUAACUUUAGUAUUAGACGCAAUUUCAAUACGCGCAGAAGCGGCUUAUGAUGUAGCUAAAGACGAGUAUUCUGGCUUUAUCAAUUAUGCGCAGAAGUAAAUUAUAUCCUAGAGACGUCGAACCAAUUCUGGGACAUUCGUAAGCCUUUCGACGUUUUUAAGAAUUCAUUGAGUUCUGUACUAUCUAGGUGAGUUCCGCUUUUCUCACUUCUUUACUGCAUUAAUAAUUUAUUUUCAUGAUUUAGAUCCCAUCAAUAUCAACCUUCGACAAUUCUAUUGCAAGUGUCAUAUUUUGCAUCGUCUAAUAUUUAUAUCACACAAAUCCAAAUUUUCGGCCAUAUUGAUCUGAAAAGUUUUGAUUUUCCAGAUACAGUAGGGGCAUGGAGAGAUAAAACUCUAAUUUAUACAUCAAUUGGUAAUAGCAUAUGAUAAUUAUUCUUCUGGGCCUGGCUCAAUCUCAGGAUAGCAUCAUUUUGUGGUGAUUUUCUCCAACUGAUACAUCGAUGGAUGAAAACACCAAAAUCAGCGGCAAAAUGAAGCGGAAACAAUCUAUUUGUACAAAAAUGUAAUCUACUUCUCAGUUCUCAACAGGGAGUAUCCAUCUAUAUCCAUACGAAAAUGUAAUAAACUUCUAAAUCAAUUUGUAUAUACGUAAUUUAUUCUACAUAUUAUAAUACAUUCAUGAUUAACAGGAUUCAUUUUAUGAUUUACACGUUCAUACUUGCAUAUUUUAUACACUAAUUUAACCACUUUUGCCAUAAUUA